GAACACCGUAUGUGGUAAAAGUCGCUUGUACGGUGUAGAGGAGGGGUGCGACAAGAAGUAACUUCUUCCGCAC
rnacentral:autocatalytically_spliced_intron from 1 species